rnacentral:rRNA from 1 species
UACGAAGGGGGCUAGCGUUGUUCGGAAUUACUGGGCGUAGAGCGCGCGUAGGCGGCUUUGCAAGCCAGAGGUGAAAUGCCUGAGCUCAACUUAGGAAUUGCCUUUGGGACUGCAGGGCUUCGAGGACUGGAGAGGUGAGUGGAAUUCCCAGUGUAGAGGUGAAAUUCGUAGAUAUUGGGAAGAACACCAGUGGCGAAGGCGGCUCACUGGCCAGUUUCUGACGCUAAAGUGCGAAAGCGUGGGGAUCAAACAGG